UUCUCCAGGUUCGAAAUUUACUCGAUGAAUUCAACAUGGCGUCUAAUGUACGGGUGGAAAUGUCGAUGUGAUAAGAAACUUGCUUGCAUUCCAUUUUUCAUGUAUUGUGGUGUUGUGAAAUGAGCAAAAUUAAGAGAAGAGUAACAGUUGAUUCUGCUAAGUCUGUCCCGGAUGAGGGAGAUAGGCGCAAACCAAGUGUUUUUGAAAGGCUUGGUCCCGGAGCUCGUAAACAACUAGACGAUCGUGGAGAAAGUUCCUACAACACUAAGUGUCGCCGUUGGUUGAUAAGCGGAGAGUGUAACUUUGGAAACAGUUGUAAAUUUCAGCACGGUCCUCCGUAUAAAAAAGCCAGAGGAGAAGACAGCCCCGACAAAUCGAGAGCGAGACCCAAACAUUUUAAGAAAGAAAUCGAGGAGAGUGACUCGGACUCAGAGCAACGAAGUCGCAGCAAGGUCAAGAAAGAGAAGAUCCGAUCCAUCGUCAGCAAGAAGGCGGCGGCCCCGGACAGUGAUAGCGACAGCUCGGGAGACAGCUGGGAGCAGGAACGACCCCCUUCUGACCGUCCAGAUUUGGAUUUUAAGAAGGAACUUGAGCUAGAGCGGCAGCGCCAGCUGAUUCAGAAAGAGUUAAGUCAACUGUCACAGGAGGAGGAGGCGAGGGAAAACAUCACCAUCCAGAAAAAGCUGAGUAGCAGUGACGACGAAAUGGAAAGUCCAGAGAGGAAGUACAAAAAAUCCAGGUCUCCAAGUAAGAAGAAGAAAGAGAAGAAGCAUAAGAUGAAGUCUCCCAAGGCCAGGGAGAUCCGGACCCCCAGUCCAGUCUCCAGGAAAAGAAGUGAAGAUAGAGACUCCCCGAAGAAAAAACACAAGAAGAAGAAAUCACUAGAGAAGAAGCAAGCAGAGUUCUCUGAAGAAGAAGACCAAGAGAUGAAGUUGAAGAAAAUCAAAAUGAAGGGCAUCAAGUCCAAAUCCUCUGAGAAACCCAUUCUGAGUUUCCAUUCAGAGGAAGAGUAUGAGGAUGAGCUAGCCAAGAAAGCAGCGGCCAAGAAGAUGUCUUCAUGGUCAAGAUCACCCUCACGCUCUAUAUCUAGGUCAAGGUCACCUUCAGCUGAAUAUGAGAGGUCACGAAGGUCACCUGAUGAAUACGAAAAGUAUCUGGUUCAGCAGCAGGGAAAUUCCCCCAUGAGCAAGAAGGGAAAGAAAGCCAUCCGAGCUCAGUUGGAGUUGGAAAACUACAUGAAGGAGAAAUACAAGAAGGGCAAGCAUAGGGAAUUGACUCCCGAGCCCCGAGAGGUAAAGAAGGACCGGUCUCCGUCAUCAGAUCACGGGGAUUUGAAGGGAGGUAAGAAGAAGGGGAAAAAAGAACAGAAGAAGAAGCAUAAGGACUCUGAUAAAGACUACCUGUCCAACAGUGACACAGAGAUGUACUCUAAAAGUGACAAAAGUUACCAAUCCAAGAAGUACGAUCCACCACCGGAUAGUCGGGAACAGAGAAGCUCAAGGAGAGACGACUAUGAACAACAGAGAGGGUCCCCGAAAGAGUACGUGGACAGUCGGUCAACAAAGGGGUACAAGUCUCAGGACCGGCGGGGAUCUAGUCCCCUGGGGAGGGAGCGAAGGAGGAGUCCGUCAGCAGACCUCGGACUGAAAGCUCAGGAGCCGUAUAGCAAGAAGGAGUUCUCUCCCUCUGAGUCCCUCAGGUCGGGGUCCCAGUACCAAAGAAGUCGUCGUGACCCCUCCCCCAGGGACCGGAGAGAUGAGGGGCCCAGGUACUCCAAAGACAGGAGGCUGGAGGAGGAAGGUAGGGGCAGGGACAAGGAAGACCCCAUCCGGGCUGGCAGGUACCCCUCCCCAGGCGACCGCAGGUACGAGAGGGGUCACGAACCUGUCCCCAGUGCAGAGUAUGAAGCAAGUCGAGGAAGAUACUUGGACAAAGGUAGGGAGGGGUAUGAUGACCGCUAUGCCCCCACCCCUACCCCCCACCUAGAGGACCUCAGAGAUCAGCCUAGGGACAGGUACGGUCAGAGAGGAGGUCUCCCCCAGCCAGAACCCUACGACAGAGACAGGAGGGGACCUCCCCCAGACAGAUUCGACAGAGACAAGCGAGGCCCACCAGAGGUAUUUGACAGGGACAAGAGAGGUCCCUCGGAGUAUAAGAGGGGACCUCCACCAGCUGAUGGCUAUGACAGAGAUCGAUAUGCCAGGGACAGGGAUAGAUAUGGGGGGAGGGAACAGAGAUAUGAGGCCAGGGAUCCAAGAUAUGAAGGUCGUGACCCCUAUGAGGGACGUGCACCUCCCCCCGCUGAUUAUGCCUGGGAACAGAGCCGCCGUGGUGGUGCCUGGCCUCCAGCAUCUAGAACACGUGGUGCCCCGCAACCACAGCCUCUGAUGGGCCCAGACCGAGGUUACCGACCCCCCGACCGGUACGCAGAUUACGGACCCCCAAUCCCAGGUGCCAGAUAUGACUCACCACGAGACCUUCGGGGGGAGAGGUCGGACUGGGACCGCCAGGACCUGAGGGAGGAGUUUUACCCUGACCGCAGGGAGUGGGACAGCAGACAUGAUGAGAGGAGGGACUAUCCCCCUCCCCCCAGGGACGAUCGCUUCCUGGACCGGCCUGAUGACAGGUUCAGGGACAGUCGCUAUGAAAGAAAAAAUGAUGAUAGAAGAGAUGACAGUAGGUCAAAGAGAGAUCGCUAUGGCGAUGAUAGGUCAGAGAGAGGGGAUAGGGACAAGGGCGAUUCUCUCGGAAGGUCAGACUAUGACAGAGAUCGUAGAAGUGGGGCAUCCAUAGACAGAAGGCAGGAUUUGUCUCAGGACAGAAAAGGGGACAUAAGGGAUCGCAGAAGGGAGGGGUCACCUGACAGACAGCUAGGGGGCCCAUCAAGGGGAGCAUCUAAAGAGAAGCACCGUGAGGAGGGAGACAGAAGGAAGGAGGAGGCAGGGGAUAAAAAAGGGGAGCGAUCAGUGGAUAGAAAGAGAGAAGAAAAAAGGAGGGAUGAAAGAGGGAGAGGGACAAGUGAUAGACAGAAAGCUGGCUCUGUAGAGAAACCUAUGGAGGCCUCACCCAAUCGGAUGAGAGAGAAGUCACAUGACAAGAAGUGGGAGGAGUCACCGGAAAGGUCGGCUGGGGAUAGAGAGACAGAGAAGGUCAAAGGAGAAGUGGAGGACAGGGGGAAGAGAGAUACCGAGAGAGAGGAGAGGUCCAGUCAAGGCCGAGAUAGGACAUCUCGAGAUAAAGGCGACCCUACACCAACAAAGAAAAAGGACAAGAAAGUAAAAAAAUCUCACAAGGAAAAAUCCAAAGAAGACGAAAAAGGAGAGGAACAUAAAGACAAGAAAGAGAAAGUGGAGCCGAGAAAGGAGAGCAGAAAACGAGGGCAUGAUGAUAAAGACCGAUCAGUGUCACCUGCACCCAGAAGGGAAGCUGACCUAUCCCCCACCCCCUCUACAAAGAGGGUCAGGGACAUAUCCCCUACCCCCUCCACAAAAAAGGCCAGGGAUUUAUCCCCCACCCCAUCAACGAAGAAGGCUAGGGAAAUAUCCCCAACCCCUUCUACUAAAAGGAGCAGGGAAUUGUCACCAGCAGAAUCCCAUCGAAGCAAGAGAGAGGUGUCACCAGCUCUUUCUCACAGAAGUAAGUCCAGUGCUGUGGCUCCUGUAGAGAAGCUGUCAACUAAGGGGGGAGAGGAGGAGGAGAAAUCAAGGUCACGGGACUGGGACCGAGGCAGUGAGAAGUCCGACAGGAAGGGGAGGGAGAGACACGCCUCUAGUCCCUUCUCAGUUGAAGAAGACAGAAGGUCAAGGAUCUCCAAGAGGUCAAGGUCACCUGAGGUCAGAGGGGAUCAGCGAGAUCAAGACAGAAGAAAGAAAAGGAGAACGGAUAAGGAAGAUGACAGAAAAAGUAGUGACAAACCUAAAGAAGAGGACCGCAAAUCAGUCAGCAGACGAUCUCAGGGCAGCCAGCCAGAUAACAAGCACAGUGAUUGGUCAGAGGAUUCAGAGGAAGUCCCCAAAACAGCAGACAACACAGAGAAAGAGCAGGUGGCAUCUGCAUUACCAGAACAUCUCCAAACUCGCCGACAGAGAAGUCAGAGUCGUAGCAGCAUAGGCAGCACCGGGCGCAGCAGUCACCGUGACAACCGAAGCAGACGAUCCUCGUUUGACCGCGGUAGACGUGACCGCUCACCAGACAACAGAACCUCUAGUCGUCCCAGCAGCAAAGAAAGGUCAAGCAAAGCAAGAGCUAGCUCUAUAGAAGACAGAGAAAAGGAGAAGAGCAAAAGAGAGACUUCGGAGAGCAAAACAGUGGCUCCACCCCUUAAAGAAGAAGAAAAGAACGAUAUAGAUGAGGAGGAGAAUUCUGAUGACAAUUUGUCUCUGGAGGAGAUAUCAAGUGAAGAGGGCAGUGUUAUUGGGGAAGAAGAAAAGAAACCCAGUAUAAUGGACAUCGUGGAUAUAGACUGGACAAGUCUGGUUCAGUCUUCACAACCAAAACCGGCCAGUACUGGUUCAGCUCUCCAGCGCUUCAGGGCACCUGCUAUCUUUGCCUCACUUGGUGUUUCUAAGGAGUUUGCUGGGGAGAAGCUGUUCCAAAAAAUCCAAAGUUCUUGUCAACAGGAGCUUGAGGCUCAAAGAGAAAAAGAUUCAGAGACACCAUCAAAACCAGUUGUGUAUGAACUACAAGAUUCUCUUAAGAAAGUUCAGACAGAGUGAUCAACGGCAUUUUCCUCCAAAAAGGACAUUAUAGCCAAAAUUGGCAACUUCCGAAGGGCGCUGUGUGCCAGGAAAGAUAUCGAGAUCCGACGGAAACUCUGUAUAGUUGACACAAACUUGGACCAAUCCUUCAAUCUUCCGAUACCAGACCAAGAGCUGUGUAAACUGAGUGCACAGCUAUUGUCUCAGUGCGGCGACGUUUUCCCCGUGAAAAAGGAGGAGACAACUCCCCCAGCCAUUAAACCUGAAAUACAGUGUGCCUAAGGUUGGCAAGAGGUCAUGAGGGGUCCAUUGUUGUAAACUAGCUCAGACAAAUGGUUUUGUCAUAACAUUCAUGUUAUCUUAUUUGGACCUCAAUCCAUUAACCACAGGCAUAAUGUUAUUCCAUGUGCAGAGAUGCAUAUCCAUCAAAAGUGUGUGUUCAAUGAUUGUGUCUAAUUAAAAUGAAAAGAAAAAAAUAUUAAAAUAUUAAUCAAAUUAGAAAGUGUUCAAUGUUGACUGAAUAGAUUUCAUUUCUUACGAGAAAUUUAAUAAAUGAUUUUGGGUCA